rnacentral:rRNA from 1 species
CGGCGAGUGAAGCGGGAUGAGCUCAAAUUUGAAAGCUGGCAGCAAUGUCCGCGUUGUAAUCUCGAGAGAUGUUUUCCGCGUUGGACCACGUACAAGUUCCUUGGAAUAGGAUGUCAUAGAGGGUGAAAAUCCCGUACUUGAUGUGGACGCCCAGUGCUUUGUGAUACGUCUUCGAAGAGUCGAGUUGUUUGGGAAUGCAGCUCAAAAUGGGUGGUAAAUUCCAUCUAAAGCUAAAUAUUGGGGAGAGACCGAUAGCGAACAAGUACCGUGAGGGAAAGAUGAAAAGCACUUUGGAAAGAGAGUUAAACAGUACGUGAAAUUGUCAAAAGGGAAGCAUUUGAAGUCAGACGUGUAUUGCAGUAUUCAGCCUUGCUUUUGCUUGGUGUAUUUGCUGUAUUACAGGCCAACAUCAGUUUUGAGUGACGGAUAAGGGUAGAGAGAAUGUGGCAUCCUCGGAUGUGUUAUAGCUCUUUACUGGAUACGUCGUUUGGGACUGAGGAACGCAGCGCGCCGCAAGGCAGACCCUCGGGUACUUUCGCGCUAGGAUGUUGGCGUAAUGGCUUUA